rnacentral:rRNA from 1 species
GAGCCUGAGAAACGGCUACCACAUCCAAGGAUGGCAGCAGGCGCGCAAAUUACCUAAUCCCGACACGGGGAGGUAGUGACAAUAAAUAACAAUACGGGGCUCUUUAGGAUCUCGUAAUUGGAAUGAGUACAAUUUAAAUCUCUUAACGAGGAACAAUUGGAGGGCAAGUCUGGUGCCAGCAGCCGCGGUAAUUCCAGCUCCAAUAGCGUAUANNNAAGUUGUUGCAGUUAAAAAGCUCGUAGUUGGAUCUCGGGUACUAGCAUGUGGUACGCUUUAUUGCUGUUACUUCAUGUCUGGUCCUAAUCAACCGGUUGGCCGUUGAUGCCCUUUAUUGGGUGUUUUCGGUAGCCGGUACGCUUACUUUGAGAAAAUUAGAGUGCUUAAAGCAGGCCUUACGCCUGAAUAAUGUUGCAUGGAAUAAUAAAAUAGGACGGCAUGAUUCUAUUUUGUUGGUUUCUAGGAUCACCGUAAUGAUUAACAGGGAUAGUUGGGGGCAUUAGUAUUCAAUUGUCAGAGGUGAAAUUCUUGGAUUUAUUGAAGACUAACUACUGCGAAAGCAUUUGCCAAGGAUGUUUUCAUUAAUCAAGAACGAAAGUUAGGGGAUCGAAGACGAUCAGAUACCGUCGUAGUCUUAACCAUAAACUAUGCCGACUAG